AAUUAAGUUUCAUUUAAGAGUUAAUAAAAAAUACAGGUUUCAGGCUUGCAAAAAAAAAAAUGUACCUAAUCGUGGAGUUUGAGGGAGAAGGGACGACUGGACCAGCUGCCAAGUCCUGGUAUGCAGAUGGCUACUCCUGGUGGCCACCAUAUAAAGAUCUUGACAGGUUGCUGAAGAGUGUUAGGACAAUGGAGGCACCACAGCCAGAAAAAGGGUGGACCCGACAUAGAGCAAGAAUCCUGCACGAGUCUGCAUCUUUUCAGAAUGUAGCCAACAAUUGGAAGAAGGCCAGCUAUACUUCGACAUAAACUCAGAACCUGAAAUUGCUGGAAAAAGGAUUCCCAA